CAUGGAACCGGCCGGAGUUGGAGGGAAAUUACUCUCCUUUUUUUCAUAAUUUUCGGGACUCGUUCGGCGCUUUCGAAUGCUUAUACCGUCAUAGACACCUCGCCUACCGCGGAUCUGACGUUACGUUUAUCAGAUCAACCGUUCCACGUCAACAAUUCCAUCACACUACCGCAGGGGGUAACGCUGAAUGUAGAACCUGGCGUUACCGUUAAAAUCGACCUGGCUGUCGGCGUGCGCGUUGAGGGACGGCUUUUGGCAGUGGGACAACCGGACAAACGUAUCCUUUUCACGGCUGCAGACCCACCCAAUGUUGAAAGGGAUGAUAAGCAGCCACCUGUUUGGUUCGAUGGUGCCUGCAAGUAGUUUUGGCACCGUUUGUCAGAAUGGCUGGGGUAGCUCCUACUACUACUACUACAACAACAACAACAACAGAGUUGUUGCCAGGAUGUUGGGAUAUCAAACGUGUACCAAAGUAUAUAGCAGAGGCAGUGGCACUGGUUGUAUUCUUCUGAACAACGUGAGAUGCAAAGGACAUGAGAGCUCUUUCUGGGACUGUCCGCAGGAUGGGGUCCGUGUACACAACUGUUUUCACAGUCAAGACGUGUGGCUGCAGUGCUCAGGUUACUCUGGUUAUCGUGGGAAUCCCAACGAAACAGCCAAGUACUGGUCUGGGAUAGAGCUGGCGACAAACUCCUCCGUGUUAGGAGUAAGUGCUCUCCAAUAUGUGGACAUCGAAUUCGCUGGUCUUCCUAACAUCAGGACACACUCAAAUGAUACUGCAGCCAUAUCGAUUAGUGGAAGCCCGCCUGUGCUUGAUAACCUGAACAUCACAAAUAUAUCAUCGGAAAUGGUGUUCUACUCAGAGAUAUAACUGGACAUGCGGCAAUCAACAAUAGUAACAUUGAGAACAGCAUGGGCAACGGGGUUUCUUUCAGAAGCUUUGGUAGUAACCUGGCAAUGGACAAUGUCCAGAUUUCUAAUGCCCAUAAAGCAGGUUUAUAUUACAACAGGACAUUUCCGCUGCCCUCCUAUAAGAUGUGCCAACUGCCGGAAACAACGGUUCCUGAUGGAGAACCGCUCAUAGUCAGCAUUGACAGUACUGACCUUCAUCUGGGGUCAAGGUCUUCCUGUUCUCAGGUGUUUCGAAGUCAAAACCCAGGAUACAUUUUGGCGGUGCGCGUACUAUAUAUUAGGGCACGUCGGAAUACAUAUAGCAACAUACUGGAUAUAUUUGACGGAAACAGUUCGUCCUCCCGGCGGCUGGAGAGAGUGUAUAUGUACGGUGCCGACGUAAACAUGCCGUCUCCUCUCUACACUACCGGCGGGUCAGUCUUGCUGCUAUUUUCAAGCCUAAAUAUUGACGAACGAUAUCAAGGGAUGUUUACAGUUCGGUCCGUUGCCGCUUAUUCAGGUCACCCUACAGAGUUAUCAAUGUAUAGCGCCAAAGUUACGAAGUCCAGAUAUGGCAUUUUUAUUGAGAAUCAGCUGCAACCAAUUCGCAUAUCAGGGACUCGCGUGGCACAUUCUUCAGACACAGAUCUGUACGUUGGUAAGGGAUCCGGUACGAUUGUGCUUCAGGACAGCGCCUUCAUGAAUAACAUGAACCAUGUGUACUUUGAGCAUAUCCAGAGGAAUAUUAAUGUUACCGUGAAGAAUAAUGAAUUCAUUAAUUCCUCUAUGUAUGCUUUGUUUGUUGGCACCACCCCAGUGUGGACAUUAUGAGAUAAAAUCAGCUUCAUUAUUCAAAGCAACACCCUGAUGGAUAAUUUAUUUGGUAUAUCAGUACCGCGGACCAGACAGUGUGCCCUAACAGACAUCGUAGUGUACGGCAAUGUCUUUCACAACCAAAGCGAAACCGCCCUGAUGUUGGGCCCUGGUAAUAGAUGUGGAACAUACAGACUCAGAACCGUCCAGGUGAAUGAGAAUUAUGUCUCUAAAACAAAAGGGACUGCGGCUUUAUUAAUAGAGACCGACUCCCAAAUUCUCAACAACAAGUUUUCCGAUAAUGACGUGUCCCAAUGUGUUCUUUGUGUUUCUGCCUACAGUUUGUUCGUGACUGGAAAUAACUUUAGAAACAACAAUGUAAGAACGGACAACAAAAGACAUAGGGUGGGUGCUGUAAUGGUCUUGAUAAAUGCUCCAAGUAGUUUCACAUUCACAGACAACAUUUUUGAAAACCUGUGGUCGAAUAUCAACUGGCCGCUUGGCACGAGAAUUCCGUCCUUAGAACACUUGAUGUGUCACGAAAUUACUGGGGAACAUCAAACCCGCAUGAUGUUUACUCGGGGAUUAUUGAUAAUACAAAACGCUACACUCUGAGAACUGAGUUCCUAUACACUCCGUUCUAUAUCACGUCUGAUCUCUCCAGUUUGUCCCCAGCAACUAUAGAAGUGGACCCAGCACUAACUCCCCACACACUCGGUGGCCGCAUUAACACCGACCUUACUCUUAAAGACACUGGUAGACCGUACACGGUGACACAUGACCUGAACGUGACAGCCAACGCCACACUAACCAUAGAACCAGGAGUAGUUUUAGAAUUUGAAGAUUCUGUGGGGAUGUACAUUGAAGGAAGACUUAAUGUCAGUGGAACAGAGAGUAAGAAGUGCAUAUUUACCGCCAAGGGAAAGGUGUCUACAACGAAAAAUGUCACAGCUAAAACAGGUUUUGGUAAAUUUUCGUUGCUUCGAGGGCCAUCGCAAUCAUAUGGCUCGGCAUCGUUUUAUGGACAACUUUACGGAGAAGAGAACGGAGAUAUAUUGCCAGUUUGUUAUGAUUCUUCAUUGAGAGAGCCGAUGAUGACAACAUGGUUGGACGGAGAAUGCAGGCGACUUGGAUAUGCUUCUCUUUUGUACAUGAGGUCGAUUUCUGAUAUGGCUAAACUGGGGUUAAAACUAAAUUGUGCUAGGACUAAAACAGACUUUGAAAAUAUCUGCUUCACAGGUAUGCAAAGAUACAGGUGCACUUCGUUCUUCAGAGUUGUGUGCACCAAGCAUUCGCAAGAGUCCACGUGGGCCGGUAUACGAUUAGGUCUGACGGCUCGUCCCAGCUCUAUACAACAUGUGGUGAUGCAGUUUGCUGGAUACUUUGACUCCGGGUCAAGCAGAAUUGUGCAGAUUAAACUUAUGGCAGCAAAUUUCGAGGAGGAUUCGCAUCACUCGGCUUGUUUUGUGCAGGUGCGAAACCGAUAAACGUCCGUCUUUUGAAAUAAGACAUCUAUGAAGGUAAAAUUAGUUUAACACCUCAGAUAUUAUUUAUUAUACUAAAAAAGGCCAUUUUAUUGUGCAAAUAAGUGAAAAAUAUUUUACUUUUCGAAAUUUAAUUAAAUCUUCAGACCUUCACUUGCUUUUGUAUUGGAGAAUAUGACGUCAGAAUAUGGCUGACACCUAGCGGAAUAGGGUCAAAAAAUGCACUUCAACAGCUCGCAUAAAAAGUUGCUACAAUAAACUUCGAUGAAACUUGACAAUUAUAUUUCUUAUUAAAAAAGCCACCUUUUACGGACUUUACUAAGAUGCGUUAUUUCUAAUAAAGGAGAAAUCUCAAAUUGUUACAGUGUUGCUACGGCCCAAAAUUGACCAGUUGGCCGAUUUCGUUGAGUUCUAACUCGUUCAUUUCUGCUUCCUUGCAAGUGAAUCGCACACGUCGAGACGCGCAGUGAACUCUGCUACCAUGUCUUAAUUUUUCACAAGCACGUAUGAGGGCAAUUAAGGAAAAUUCAUGAAUUUCUGCGAUGGUUACGCAUUUAACAAAAUUUCGACCGCGACGUCAUCUCAGCGCUCGCGCUCCGUUCUGAAUAUUUUCCUACGCGCAGCCAGUUGCCAUAUGACUGAAAAGGUCCUUCUUUACAGGUGGAUUUCAACCGACAUAUCCUUGACAACGUAGCCAUUCUUACCUCUGGAGGAGGCAUUCGACAAAUAUACGAGGACGGGUUAGAGCGAGAUAUGACUAACAUGGUGAUAGCAGAUAUAGAUAACUACGCCUUUGAAACAUAUACACUGAGCGCAACUCUGAGGGAUUCACGGAUGGAGGACAUAAACUCAUAUGCUGUAUUGUUUCAAUCAGGGUCAUCCAGUUGGUCAAUGACAGGGUACUUUACUCACUAUAAAAGAGACUGCGGUGUAUUAUAUCUGGCCAAUGAAGGCGAUAUGGAGCCAUUUUAUCACUACAUAAAUACGCUUACACAAUGCGGUACCUUUACAACCAGGUCGGACCUCAGAUUACGGGUUUUCAUCAUCAACGGUGUUGGGUUAUAAUCAGUGGAUCCUCCACAGCAGUAUAUGGUCAAUACGGGGGUUACACAAAUGGAAUACGGACUGACAGAAGACAUCCAGACUACCCUGAUGUGGGACAAGUCAGUGUUGAUAUUAAAGACUCAGUUAUAGUGGGAAACUACAGACCAAUGGAUGUUAGGAUAUAUAGAGUGUCUAAUGCCCCCCUAAUGAAUGAACUGUUACCAUCUUUCGCCAUCUCAAUCAAAAAUACAACCUUAGAUUCCAGUAACUAUGGAAUUUAUAUUGACCGUAGAAAUCGAGAACAGUUAACCAUUGAUGGAUGUAGGAUCAGUGGCACGAGGAACACAUUGUUACAGUACAGUGUCCGGGAAGACAACCGAAAGAUGUGGACAUCCAGUUCUUGAAUAACGAAAUCACUGAUAACAGGGGGGUGUACUUGACAUCAGUGGUGGUGCUCUACAUAUGACAGUAUCGGGGAAUAACAUCACAGACAAUGAGUACAGCUCUGGGUCAAUGACCUUAUACCGGGGAUAUGAAAAGACAAUACAAUUCGUGAACAAUGAUAUAUUAGGUAACCAUUACAGAAAUAUCAUCUUCAUGAAUAUGGAGAAAACAUCCUAUGACCUAAGCAAAACCCCAAACGUUGGACUGGUAGGGAAUAUCAUUGCUAACAACACUUAUUCAUUCGGCAACAACGAACGUCAGUCAUCACAGCCCCCAGUGUCAGCUGCACUAGUAUUAGAUGGUUAUGGAAAUGUCUGCAUUCAAAACAACACGCUUCAAAACCCGGACCUGGAGGCAGAGGUGUAUGUCAAGACUCGCGCUUCAAAAUGGACAGACACCAUUGAAGCCAGGUACAACACGUGGGGAUGUGAAAAUACCGGUUGCGUGAGAAAACGUAUAUAUGACGCACACAACGACAUGUAUCUACCGGAAGUGCGAAUACUUCCAUUUGUGUCAAGAUCGAACGAGAUGGUGUACACUCCCGACGUCACAGAGGGACAUCCACAAGGAAACGUCCUUGGCGGGUGGCUGAACAAGUCCAUCACAUUAGAAGCAACAGGUUCUCCAUUCUAUCUAAAAGAAGACUGGACUAUUUUGCCCGGCAUUGAGGUUUUCAUUGAACCUGGUGUUUGGAUUAAGCCAGCAAGGGACAAAGGGAUCCUCGUUCUGGGACGGAUAGUUGCUAGGGGAGAAAAGAGAGAAAGGAUUGCCUUUGGCUGUCAAUACCAAACAGCUAAUUGCUCUCAUUGGCAAGGAUUGGUGUUUGCUUCAGAUGCCGUCAGCACUAGCCCUUCGGAAUUGCUCUUUGUAGUCGUUUUUAAUGCAGGUUACAAAGGAAACACGUACGGCGCAGCUGUGCAGUCUUUCAGCCCCAGUGUAAUCAUACAGAACUCACGAGUGGUCCAGUCAAGGUUGAACGGUAUUGAACUAAUUGGACCAGCAGUGAAAUCUAGCAUCAUUAAACGAAACGGAUUUGUUAACAACAGAGGUGUUGGGAUAAAUGCCGUUGUGACUUCCCCGAGAAGUGUACCACUUAAUACUAGAGUCAAACAAGAAUCUGUGGGAUGGCCUAGUGACGUUUAUGGGGUCCAUAAUAUUUGCGAAAGAACUUCCAAAAUGCUCAUUGUUAAUAAUAGAACUUUGGUUUAUUAUUCUCACGGAAAACAGCAUGGAGGAAAUUAUUUUAAUUGUACGCGUGCAAUACGUUCUGAACUUGGACGGAAUAUCACAAUCCAAAUUGUACAGUUUAAUCUGCAACGUUUUCAACUGGAAAUAUCCUUUUCUCUCAAGGCGACUUCUUUAUGCUGACCAGACAAACGAUUCACUUCCUUCAGAUGUUCCAAUAAACAGUUCCAGUGUAACCAUCCGGUUAUAUAGCAGGGCCAGUAACUGGGACACAUAUGGUUUGCAAAGCAUGGUCUUUGGUAUCAAGAUCUCCAGCGACACAUCUACAGGGUUAAAUGGCAACUUUGGCAUCGAGGAAAACACUUUCUUUAACAAUGGUCUGGGUGGAAUUAACAUAACUACAUUUGGACAGAGUAAUUUGGAUAUAAACAUCAACAAAAACAUAUUUCACAGUAAAGGACUUUCGACUUCCCAUCGAGCUGGACAUUCCAAAGCAGCUAUUCGGCUUAAUAUCGCUGACACCAGUGCUACAUUAGCAAACAAUUACAUGGAAGGGAACCAGGGUGGCAUCCACCCCAGGACUCCAAAACAAUAAGUUGAACGUUUGGAGCAACCAGAUUCUCUUUACAACCCAGCAAGAGAGCAUUCAGGUGGUAGAAGUAGAAGACGGUCCUCAUACACAGCAAUGCAGUAUAGAUGGGAAUGUGAUACAACACGGACAGGGAGAUAGGUACAGUGAUGUCAUCCACCUGGAGGGUGUGUCUGGAACCGUCACAAACAACUACAUCUACAACAACACGGGUUUACAUGUGAUGUGGUGGACAAUGCCAGCCAAUAGGAACAUGAGUGACGUCACCACUGACAACAUCAUAUACUACAAUAUUGCAAGAGAAGCAAACAACAUGGCAGCCAUAUUUGCUGGUGGCUCAUCAUCGUUUCUCCAUGACAACGUCUUCCAAAACCGUACAUUUAUAUUUGAGAUGACAAGUGAAGGGGCCUCUUCAACUGUGAAUGCGUCUUCCAACUGGUGGGGUCUGACAGAGCAUGCGCAGAUCAAGCAGAGGCUACGAGAUAGGGGCACGGGGUUCCCAUACCCCGAGGUCUCUAUACACCCAAUCAUCAAUUCCAUGUCUUCUUAUCAAACAGGCCCAGCGUUUUCCCUGGUGAUAACCCCCGUCAGAUAACAAAGCGCCCCGUAGGGCAGUUUAUUCCCGACUCCAGAGUUUGUCGGCGGUAUUAUAGUUGCAGUGAAGGUGGCGUUAUUCCCAAGAUGUACCCAAACCAUCUUGUCUGGAAUCCGGAAAUACAGGAGUGUGGCAGAGGCGGUUGUGAGCCACAGGAAGCUUCUGAUUCGUGUCCUCUUGGUUGGCUGCAGAAUAAGAUGGUGUGUUACUUGUACGUCGGGGGAGCACAAAACUUUACUCAAGCUCGAGCUUCUUGUGAGGGUCAAUACAGUAUGUUGGUCAAUCUUGCUACGAAGUCUGAGCGAGCCUUUGCAAUCAGCAUACUACGGUCACGAGCGGUGGGAGAGCGCAGUUUUGGCAUAUGGACGGAGACGUGGGAUAAGGAGGACGGAAAAUGCCCACUGUUCAAUUUGUCGAGUAUUGCCGGCAAUGCACAUAUCUACAAAGAUGAUUGUUUCAGUCUUUCUCCGUAUAUUUGUAAACGGUCCGCAGUUAACGAGUGUCCCAAUGGCUGCACCUACAAUGGACGGUGUGGUAAAGAUAAACGAUGUCACUGUAACCGAGGCUGGGAAGGAAAGGACUGCUCCGUGUACCACUGUAGAGACAGGAACAAGUGUGGACAGUACGGGACAUGUGUGGGACCUAACCAGUGCAGGUGUCAGCCUGGCUGGCAGGGCCGUGCCUGUUCAGUAAGCUACUGCCCCGUGUACAGCACAUGUAGAUCUUGCACUGAACAGCCCGGGUGUGGGUGGUGUGACCACAAACAAAGAUGUCUGCCAGGUCACGAGUCUCAGCCGUGGAGAGAGCAGUGUGGAACAUGGUUCUAUCACGACUGUUUCUCUGUAGACACACACAUGGGAUGUUCUAGUCAAGUUGAGUAUAUCGGCUGUGACUACCGACAUCGUAACUCUACCAUACGGUAUUCCAAUGAUGAGCUCUGCCACAGGUGUAGAGACGUGGAGGCCUGCUUCAUUGACGAUAUCUCAUAUAGCUGCCGUCAAUGGGACAUGCGGAAAUGCCCAAAUGGCCUAGUGCGACAGGUCUAUAACCAUGGCGACCGAGCCUUAGAUACGACAUUGCACGCACACGUGAAGGUCAUUAAGCCUGGCAAUGCAGAGUUUUAUGUGUGCCCUAUAUCAAACACGGAACAAAGAGGUCACUCCAUUCUUGUGACCAGAGACAAGGUCAAGUAUCCCAGGUCCAAAGAUUUUGUCAUUGUCAGCAAGCAAGCUGGAGGAAUCAUGCAUAAAGUGUAUGCAACUCAAGAAAAAGGAACAUACCAAUAUUUUGCCGCUGUAAGGGCCUCGUUGGAAGAUGUCAUCCAGUAUGCCAACUUUAACCAAAUAGUUCCUGUCCGUUCCCUCAUGGAUGAUAGGACGCUAGAGCACGUGCCGGAGGAACGCAUUUUUAAAAUUGCCUACAUGUGGGAAGGCGCAGCCAUUAGAGGUUCCUUAGUUCACGUGCUUAAAGAUGACCAUGUUUUUAAAUGUCUUGGACAUUGGUACAAUGUCACCAUAAGACCAGUGGCGUCUCAGUACAUUGUGCUACGACAGAGUAUGUCAAAACACAUUAACGUUUGUGAUGUGGUAGUCAGCGGGGAAAGCCAGGGCCAGGGCUUCCUCGAGGACAUAGAGGAUAUUGUAACAGAAUCUGAGGCUGUGACGUAUCACGCCAAAGUGAAGACGUGUUGUCAGGCUAUGUCUUUUAGUCCCAUUGCUGUCUCCCCUGUCUCCACAUCUAACACAAUGUACUGUCACGGCGGAGAACAAAAUGACAGAAGCCUGCACAUUAGUGAGUCAGUGAAUCAAGAGACGGCGCCACCAGUCGUAGGUGACGUUAUUCCAGGACGUACAUCCGGCGCCUUCCUCGGUCAGGUUAUUUCAAGGUUUGAGAAAGGGGGCUACAUUUUCCUGGAGUGUAUCCCUAUCCAGGACUUAAACAAAGACACAGUGCUGACGUCUGCUCCCUACACUAUUUUCCACCCCGACAGACGGCUGAACAACCAAAUAUCCACUGAUGGCAUAUUUACAUCACUGAAAAAGGAGGCGGUGUUUGAGACAACCUCAGUGUUAAGAAAGCAGCUGUCAGUUGACAUGAAUAUAGUGGUGACAGCAGGACUGCAGCUCCAUCUACAGUCCACAGUUCCCAAAGCACAGAAGAUAGGGAUCCGACUGGAUGCAACCGUUGACUACAACAUGAACAACAGUUAUGAAGCAUUGGUCAGAAACACCGAAUUCAACGAAGAUCAUUAUGCACCCAGGGCAUUCUGAAUAGACAAAUGAAAAUCACGAUACUUCAACUGCCUCAGUGGGCACUAGAAGAAAAAGUGGCGUAUAGUCUCAGGUUUCCCACAAGAGCAGUUCGGAGAAUUUACCGAGUUCCAGUUAUGGUUAUAUAAUUGGGAUUUGAACAAUAGAUCUACACGCGCGCGGUUGAGAUAUUUUUCAUUCUUUCUUUCUAACUUUAGGGUGGUGGUUGAUAACGAACCAGAAAAGAGUUCGGAUUUCAGAAUGCUUAAGUAACGCGAUAUUUGGGGUGUACUUUUGUUCGAGACUGAGACUAUUCCAUGAAGACACGAGUAAGUAUUCAUGACCCUGGGAUGUAAACUUAGCUGGGAUAAUGUAAUCUCUGUACGAGGACUCUCUUGUUUGCGGGGUUAUUGGAUUUUUAAAAGACAGGAAAUCUUUAAGAAUGUAUGUAGGCGCCAUGUUGUGAUGGAUAGUGCAUGCAUUAUUCUACGGUUUUCCAGAGUAGCCCAGUUCAACUCUCUAAGUACUUUAAUUGUGUUCGAACCUGGCAGGGCACCCAGAACAAGCAGACCAGCUUGAUAGUGAAUAGAAGAGAGUUUAGAAAGAUUCCUUUUAGUUGCUGAGUGAUAGAGGAUGUAGCAGUAAUCAAGCAGAAACAGUACGUAAGCGUUGUAUAGUAUAUUCAAGUGCCUAGAUCUGAGCCUAUGGGACAGGGACUUAAGAGGAUUCAGGGCCUUUUGGGCCUUAGAAGCUAAAUAACUUAUAUGCUCGGCACAAGACAGUUUUGAAUCUAGUACGAAUCCGAGAUGUUUGUGGAAUGAUUUCUGGGGUAUCGUUAAAUCACAUAAUAUUAGAUUUCUAUAUUUAUUUGCUGUAACCUUGGUAGAGAAUAUAACCUCACAACUCUUAUCAGGUUUGAACUCCAGUUUCCAUCUGGAAGACAAUUCCUCAAGCUUUGAGAGAUCAGAUUGAAGUGCAUCGUGCAACUGGCUGUCAGAAGGAAGAGAAGAUUGAAAAAUAGACGUGUCGUCAGCAUAUAGAAAACAAUCUGAUGAAAGGUUGUCUGCUAGAUCAUUUAUAUAUACUGUAGGAGAAAGAGUAGAGGGCCGAAAAUGCUGCCUUGUGGAACACUAGUGUUGAUAUAAGAUUCUUUGGAAGAUUGAUACGGACUUUGAUUUUUCUAUCACUCAAAUAAGAGGAUAAUAGUGACAGUGACUGACGUGACACAUGAUGUAGAUCACGCAGAUGACAUGGGCAAUGUUCACAUAAACGUUUGCACGUGCAGUUUCCCAGUGCCUCGGAUACCAUUGUUUACGACCUCGUCAACCCUUCGCUCGUUCUUCGUUUUCUAAAGAAUUUGAUAGACCCCGGUGUUGUCAGUCAGUCUGAGACUGUCACAUACACGACUACAGCCCCUAUCACGGACAGUUUGGACAUUACCAAUUGUUCUAAUAUCUGUUCCGGGCGUGAGGGCGUGCACCUUGUGGUCCACAAAGCGGGGCCGGGGUACAGAAAAGACGCUGGGUUUCUUCGUUUAGAUGCGUCAUAUUCGAUUUUCACAAGCCUUGAAGGGCACUGUAGGCCAGCUACCGUAGCCACCACGUGUGCUGUUGGACCUGGUACCUGCCUAUGUCCUGAUGGAAGCAGUAGUAUUGAGCCUGCAUGUCGAUGUCACUGUGCUGACGGUUGGCCACGGGAGAUGAACGUAGACGGCACGUGUGAGUGUGGCUGUGAGUGUCCAAAUGGCGGUUAUGAUAUCGUUAAACCUGAUGGUGGCUGUCAUUGUUCAUGUGAAUGUUAAAACUGCCAGAACUCGGUUAUAGCUAGUGAUGGAACGUGCUACUGUCCGAAUGAUACCUGCCCGGUGUGUGACUAUGCCUACAAGCCCGUGUGGGAAGACUGUCGUUGUGUUUGCCGUGAGAAGACCCAGUGUGGACUGUACCCUGCCUGUGUACGAGGUCGACGUGGAGAGCAGUGUGACCAGCCGGACUGUGAGCCAUGCAGUUUUCAGACAGACAACGGGUUGCAAGGUUACCCAAAGAAGGCCCAUAUAUUGGGGGCAAAGCCUGAAACUGUCGAUUUCAGCACCCCAGGACAGCCAACUUCAAGAGCAGGAUAAAAUGAUUACUUCAGGAAUCUUACCUAUCACUUCACAUCAGCUGCAAAGAUUGAUGUAGCCACCAGUUAUGCCUACACUAAAGCUGACUUACAGGCGGCUGUGAUGGACAACAACUAUUGUCAAGUGCCAUGAAAAGAAUAAAGCAUGGAUAGAGGGAA